rnacentral:lncRNA from 1 species
CCUUCUGCCGUUCGAGUACUCCUGUCCAAUCCAGCGGUGGCCAAAGGCUUGGCACAGUGAGCCUCCCGGGUGGGUGGCGCUCCCCUCGAGGUGCCCCAGGGCUGGGGAAAUUGAGAACUCUGGCAGGGGAGGUGGCCGGACUAAGACAGUAACUGUCCUGCGGCGUCUGGGACAAUGUCUACAGCCAAGUGAAGGUCUCCCAAGAUCUCUUUCCUGUCAGCCAAUGGAGGCAUUCAGCCAAGCGGUUAACCUGGUAAGUUGAGGAAAAUAGCCUAUUUCCCUUGGGCGAAACUUUGGGGACGUUGAGAAGGCUCUCUGCCUCCCAAGUGCUCACCCCAUCCCUUCCCUUGAGGCCCGAAACUCCAUAAUCAGAGUGUCAUCUCUCAGCGAGAAGAAGCUGUGAUGGCUUCUAAAGCCGUUAUCAGUCCGUUACACCUUAGUGUAAGUGAAGAAUCUAGAAGCAGGUUUUGACAUGGAGGCCGGAGAGGGAAAGGAAGAGGUAACCUGAGUCCCGGAGGUGGGAGAUCAUCAGAGACACAGACAGAAAGUGCGGGAGAGGGAACGCCGAGAGGAGAAGCUGGCCUUGUGACAAACUUUGCCAAGGGCAAUUUCGCCGAGUUCUAGCAACUCAUCCUGACAGCGGAAUGUCCAGUUAUUAACAAAGAAUGUCUCGGACUCUCAUUCUGAUGGCGGCGUCAGCCAGAUGAUUCCAAUGACCGCACCCGGCAGCUACGGGUGCAUUGCUGGCCUCUCUAACACGCAGGGGAGCCCGGCUGAUCCUAACAUUAGCAGGUCGCAGAACGUCUUGGACGGCUGUUUGCUACAGAGGAUUUCGAAUAAGAUAGAGACUGAAACAUUUAAAUGAUCAGAAUCUGGAAAACGGUAUUUUCACUGGAGAAGAGGUUGCCCAAAUUUCCAUCUCCUGAAUCAGCAAGGAUCAAAAAGGAAUGAUCGAAUCCCCACAGUGGACCUACAAUUGCACUAGGUGAUGUGGGGGAACUGGAAACAGCCGAUCACCCUACACACACAGUGAGUGCCUUGCUUUUUUCUCUAAGCAAUACUUCCUCCCCAUCU